UCCCUGGAGGACUAGCGGUUAGGCCACAGUGCUCUCACUACUGUGCCCUGGAUUCAAUUCCCGGCCAGGGAA
rnacentral:tRNA from 1 species